rnacentral:lncRNA from 1 species
CAACCUAACGCCAUUCAGCCAUUAGCGUCGUGGUUCCUUUCCGUUUCGCCAAUCGCCAUUGACCAUGACCAUUCGCCUUCGCCAAUUUCGCGGUUUGCCUUUGCGUUUGCCAUCAUUUGUGGUCUGUGUUUGCCAUUGCCAAUGCCAAACCAAAUCCAAAUUCCAAAUCGAUCGCCAAUCGCCAUCUUGUUUGGACUUUUGGCCUACGCGUUCCGUUGUAAGGUUAAAUAGAAUUAGUAAAAAUACAAUAAAUAUAUAAUAAAGUGAAAUAAAUACGGAACACACCAUAGGUCAGACGUCAGAGACUGAAUUAUAAAACUGGUGCUGUUACAUUUACGCCAACAAGUAUUUUAAUUUUUAACAAAGAUUUACGCUGAUAAGCAUGGUCAAAGGAAGAUUCUGGAAUUCUCUUCGUUAUUCUUUCAGAAGGUUCCGCGUCCCUCCAAUGCCUCCGUGAAUAAUAUCUCAUCAGGACUAUAAUUUUGAAAGGCAAUCUUUACUCAUAAAAGUAGGCCAAGAAAUGAAAUUGAAGAUAACGGUUUCUGCAUCGCAAAGCAAAAAAAAAAAGGAGACCGAGAGAUAGUAAAAUCCUUUUUACAACAAGAUGAAAACUACAACAGCUACAAAGUGCUUGCAAUGAGUUUAGAAAAAAAAUAUUUAUUAUGUGUUUACUAAAAAUACACAGCGUCGCUUUGAAGAUGGUUCUGUGAGGUGUGUACCAAACCUUAUAUUGGUAUGUGUACUCACCCUAAUUUUCCUGCUAAAUUGGUAUCUUACUUAUCUGUCACCUGCGAGGGCGUUUAUUGCAUCUGUGGGCAAGCCCUUCCUAAUGUCAUAGCGUUUUGUGAUUUCCUGCGAUAACCGCCGUAAAUAUUUUCAUCUGAUGAAAAGUAUUGCUUUAUGUGUAUAAAGAAGUUUUUUCCGACCUAUUAUUAUGGUUUAUAGAGAAAAUGAGCCGUGAAAGUGAUGAACACUUACAGAGUGAUGUUGAAAUGAGUAAAAAUGCCCAUUCUCGCGGAGAGAAGAGAGUUGCGUCAUCUUCAACUACUGCAGCUGUAGCGAUAGCGACUCUGUUUUGGAUGCGGAACGUACAAGUUUACAUCCGCCUAACGCGAGGGCAAGAUAGGAUAAGAGUGACUCGCAGAGGCGUAUUUACCAAUGACGCAGGGGGUGUGUGACAGCCGGCCUGGCCGUUUAUACUUAUUAACAUUUUUGUACGUAUUCCAUUUUGACCGCGCGCUUUUUAAAGGGCGCUAGGUAAUGCUUGCACCCUGGCAAUACAUAUGUUAGACACGCCUCUGGUUACUCGGAUCCUCAUAAACUUUUUGAUAACUAGGUAAGUCAGUUAUCAAAUUAGAUACAGGGACUUAUCCCGUCCAUGAGGGCCCAGGCCUCAGUUGGGCUCUGGAGCCCUGGCAGAUGGGGCGGCUGUGACACCAUCACACUCCUCUGAGUUUUCAAUAAAUUCCAGUGGUUGAACCGGAGUGAUAAUAUUACAACUGGAUUCACUAAGAAAGGGAAAACAGCUCCAACUGAGAGGGCUGAAACCCUUAGUAAACUUCAUCAUUUUGGUACAAAGGAGGGCAAAGAGGUAACAUUUUCCAAGGGUAUUCAAGCAUUGAUUGCUUGCCAGACUUUACUGAGUAAAUAUUAAUGAUGAGCUCUGCUACUACUAGCUAGUGCUAAAUAGCUACUACUCUGAACACAGCGAAUGGUAGGUGGAAUAACCCAUGGAAUUUUGCAACAGAACAAUUUGCAACUGAUCAGGGAGAAUUUAGAAGAAAUUAUUUAUUAGGCCAAUAAUUCUUGAGAACAAUUGACACCAGGUAAUUUGUAUAACAAGGUAUUAUCACAU